rnacentral:rRNA from 1 species
UACGGAGGGUGCAAGCGUUAAUCGGAAUUACUGGGCGUAAAGCGUGCGCAGGCGGUUAUGCAAGACAGAUGUGAAAUCCCCGGGCUUAACCUGGGAACUGCAUUUGUGACUGCAUCGCUGGAGUGCGGCAGAGGGGGAUGGAAUUCCGCGUGUAGCAGUGAAAUGCGUAGAUAUGCGGAGGAACACCGAUGGCGAAGGCAAUCCCCUGGGCCUGCACUGACGCUCAUGCACGAAAGCGUGGGGAGCAAACAGG